AUGGAGAGAUGCUCCAUCUCUCCUGUCAAACGACUGACCGCCCACCGCUGCCUUUUCUUCCUCCUGGUUGCCGCAGUGACGCGACCCUCAACCUGUAACCGUGACGACGAGGGCGAGGGGCAGGUGGAGGCCUUCUCAGCCCAGCUGUCCGUCACAGGACAGGUCACACCCACCCCUAUUUGGUCCGUGGACUGGGGCCCCACACUAGCCCUGGAGGACGAGACGCAUCACUUCCUGUCCAGCCAGGAAGCGGACCUGUACCACCAUGGCCAUGAAGUCCCCACGACAACCGCUGAGGCCUGGCUGCAUCAUCAGAGUGCACCAGGCAGCGUUUUGCCCCAGGAGCCCCUGGAUCUGCUGGAGGCCCCGGACGCAGAGGGAGUAGAGGAUGGAGGAAGUGAGGCAGAGGAGAGAGAGCCUGAGGAAGUGGACCCUCAGUUUUACGUCACAGUGACCAUCUCCUCUCUGCUCAUCCUGACUGCUGUCAUCAUAACAGCCAAACUCUGUUACGACCGCAGCUGUUCCCAGCGCCCGCCCCCGCUUUCCCGUGGCGUGGCCCCCCCCCCUCUCUCUCGCCCUGCCUCGUUCCCUGGCUCCGGAGGACAGCCGGCAGACGCUGCACGGCACCCCCUCCUUUACCGACAGGGAGAGGAUCCCCGUGGUGAACCUCUAAGGCGGCCGUUUUUGAAUUGAUACACAUUUCUACGGGAUGCGACGGAGAACAUCAACAUCGCCAGAGGGUGUGCCCACCGUGGCCCACUUCGUUCUUCUAUUUAUCUUUGACUGUGAAAAUGAAAAUCAGGAAACCAGGUAUCCAGCCAUGGCAAAACCUAUUUUUCCCUCCAUCCCUUCCUCGUGAAGGAGAAAAGCCCGAUCUCAUCCCUUCCUUCCUGCUGCCACGCCUCUUUUCUCCACUUUCCUAUGGCUCUCUGUCACUGUUGACUGACCAAACCUUCCUCUCUGUUUUAUAUUCCGUUGUCUGUACUGCCCCAGGCUGUAGCAGCAACACACGUACAGCUCCCUCCGCUUUAUCCGCUUUGACUAAUUCACAAGCAAACAGUGUUAGAUAUCAAUAUAACGUUUUAUUCCCGCCGGUGCCAAAACCGCAUAGCUGUAUGAGGCUGUUUGGAAUAUUUCAUACAGCUAUCUUGUGUAGCUGAACCUUGAACUAUGAUGAAAUAGUGGACUUGGUUGUUGAAACUUAGUUGAAAGUGAAAUUUGUGUGUUAUCUGAAACUGAAAUAUAGGUGUUCAGCUAGCUGGUGAAGGGUUAAAACAAUCCCUGUUUCCUAGGACUGAAGGGGGUAUUUCACAAAGCUGGUUGGCAAUGUUGUCGCCAGCAGCCAAUGUGCUUAACACGACACGGUCCAAAAAUCGCUGUUUACUCCCGCUUGGAAUGCAAAUAGGCCCACUGCAGCUUCCACAUUCGCAAUGUGUUUUCUGGGUGUUUUUUAUUCCCUAAAUUAUUCUCUUCAUUUGUUCCUUUAAUUUUCUCGCUUCUUUGCCGGUUCUCUUUGUUGUGCCUUUGUGAGCGUGUUAUUUUGUCUCUGGAGCAUGGGGAUGAGCAGUGUUUAUAUAGUACUGCUCUAUAUAGGGUUGUGAAAUUCUGUAAUUUUCCCAAAAUUCCCUGGUUUUCCAGAAAUCCCGGUUGGAAGAUUCCUGGAAUUAGGAGGGAAGGAAAUACAGGAAUUUCCCAACUGGGAUUUCUGGAAAACCAGGGAAUUUGCGGAAAGUUAUCCUUGUUGUAUAUGAAAAUAGUGGUGCAAACAAUGUGCAAUACAUGUUUGCAUAUAUUGCAAUCAGUACAAUCAAACGAUACAUGUGGUACAAUCAAUGGUGGUUGCAGGUUAACAUAAUGGGUAUAAAUGAUUCAGUCCAGAAUUAAUGAGUCAUUUUACCAUCAUCUGUUGUUUCUAUCGAAAUUCUGCUCUGACUUCAAAGCUUACACUAGUGUUUACUGUAGGAUAUUAGGGUAAUGUACCUGUCCAACUCUUCCACCAGCUUUGAGAAAUGACCCUCUGGACUUCCACUACACUAGUACACAUAGCGUUGUGACAUCAUACGUGACACGUGUCGUUCUGCAGUCCAGUGUUCCUUGGUUCUCAGUAGCAUUCCUGUAGACGUGUGGUUCCACUGUAUGAUGGGAAAACAAUAAAAACUCAACACUGGUGUUUUAGCACUGUAUCCGACUGGACUUUACUGGCCAGUGGCUUUGGGUCAAGAUAGAACUGACAAUGUGCGAGGGCCAGCCUUACAGGAGAAUGGAUGCAUCUCAACUGGCCUGAGUUGCCUCCUUUCCUUCAUCCGUCCUAGGUUGAAGAUACCCAGGUUACGACAACCUAAUAAUUCCACGAAUCAACGGAUUCAUGGAACAGGUGCUGUUGCUGACUAGCAUCCCUGAUCCCUUCGUUUAGAAUCCUACCUCAUUUAUGCAAAGACAUAUGGGAUAUUAUAAUUAUUAUGUCUUAACCUUUAUCUCCAACCUAGCAUCUGUACUAAACUUUAGGAUGAGGAGAAGAAGAGAUUGUCAUAAAAGAGACCAGGAAAUACACAUGGGAGCCAUGUGUUCUAAUUGUGUCAUUCAAUCCAUUAACUGCGAGUUCCAUUUGGCUUCUAGUGCAGAUCAGAGCCAUGUAUUUAGAUAUCAGAGCCAUAUAUUUAGAUAUCAGAGCAAUAUAUUUAGAUAUCAGAGCCAUAUAUUUAGAUAUCAGAGCCAUAGAUAUCAGAGCCAUAUAUUUAGAUAUCAGAGCCAUGUAUUAAAAUAUAAAUAUAUGGCACUGGUGCAGUUAUACUUCCUGAUUAUGACAAUCUCUCUUCUUCUCUAUUUUAUCCUAGGUCAGGUCUACACUACAUCAUCCUAAACUUGAAUGCGUUUUCAAAUCUGUAAUAAGAUACAGGAGAGCAAGCCACUUUACACUAUUGAGACGUACCCAAAGAAAAUCCUCCAUUUACUGGAAGUAUUAGAAGCUGCGGUGUGAGAGAGACCAGACAGAGAGGACAGUGUCUGCUGUUGCUUUUUCAUUUCCUCUGGGCAUUUUAAUGAUCAAUCAAAGUAAUUGAUUGGCUGGCUGAAGUCCACUCCAAAGUUAACUACUGGCUGAUUAUGAGUCCAACCAGCAGACGCUGUAGCACUCCGUAGUCUGUGUGUUUAAGGAAGGACACACAGUUAGGUAUACACAUGCAGUCACAUCUGAAGUUUUACGCACACACAAAGUAUCCCUCUCACAGCCACAUAAACACACUUUUUUUUUACGUAACCUUUCUUUAACUAGGCAAGUCAGUUAAGAACAAAUUCUUAUUUACGACGGCCCGACGCUGGGCCAAUUGUGCGCCGCCCUAUGGGACUAUCAAUCACGGCCGGAUGUGCCUGGAUUCGAACCAGUGACACCUUUUGCAAUGAGAUGCGGUGCCUUAGCCCACUUCGCCACCUAGGUGUACAGCUGCUAGAAUUCACAGCUCCCAUCUGGUAGGAACCGAGCAAACUGUGAAACAGUAAAGCUCAAUCACACUGACUGAAAUUAACACGGCUAUUUAUAGAGGGGGAGAGACGGAAAGGGGGAGAAACAAAGUUGGGAAGAGGGAGGAAAUGGGGUUAAAACGGAAUAGGAUAAUUUCCCUGUCUCUCCAUCCCCCUUUUCUCUCUCUCUCUGUGGGUUCCAUGGGAGUUAAUAGCUACCAUUAACGUCAUGCAGGAUAGGAAGAGAGGGUUUUUAGAGAAAACAGAGGGAGGCUGAGGAGAGAGAAAGAGAGCGAGCGAGCGAGAGACACGGACAGGAUGAACGUGAAAAAUGAAAUUUGGAGCGUGUGAUUGGGGGGGGGGCAGACAAUUUCGACAGGCAAUUUUGACGGUGAAGUAUAAGCUUUGGGCAAAAUAUACCGAUAUCAAAUAUGAAUGCCCUAUGUGUGUCUGUGUGUGGCAGAGAAAAUGAGGCUGAGAGACGGAGAGAGUGUGUGUAACCAAGCCGACUGAUCACAAGGGUAGUUCCAGCGCUCUAAUAUAUUAGUCUCUUUGGGGAUAACCUAAUUAAGGGUGUGACCUAACACAGAUAUCCCCCUUCUGUGAGUUAACAUUUAGCUAGUGAUGCAACCUCCAAUUGCACUUUAAAGUAUGCACAAAAAAAACCAGUAAGACAGAGACUAAAUGAAUAGAGGAGGUUCAAUUUAUUACCAACAAUUAAUAUCCUGAUUUUAUACACGUCUCAACUCAAUCCUCAGCAGAAAAAAAUACAAUCAAACAAAAUGUGUAACACAAUAGAGUACACACAUCAAAUACACACAUUCAGUUUCACUGCUUGUGGCUCUGCUUCUCCUGAUAAAACAGACAGCAGCGAAGCUCUGCCCAGAGAAGAUUAUACUCGGUCUGUCGCUCUCUGUCUGUCUCUGUGUACAUGUUAGAAUGGGUUUGGGUCUGUGUAUAUACACAGUGCAGAUAGUCCAUCUGUCUGGUUGUGUGUACACAUCUAUCAGAAUGGGUGUCAGUCACUGCAAUUGUGUCUGUCUGACUCAGUGUAUAUCUAUAUAUCUAUAUAUAUAUAUAUAUAUAUAUAUUAUAUAUAUAUAUAUAUAUAUAUAUAUAUAUACAGUGUGUGUGUGUGUGUGUGCGUGCAUGGAUGUGUGUGUAAAUCUUUGUGUUGUCUGUGCAUUGGUCACAUUAUCGGUCUAUGAGUCUGUGUGUGCCUAUGUGUCAGUCCAUCCAUCUGACAGUGGAUCAGUGGGGGUGUGCCGG
rnacentral:lncRNA from 1 species